rnacentral:ncRNA from 1 species
CUAAAGACAAUGAAAGAGCCAAGUAGCAUAGUGAGUCUGUAUAGGGAGAAGUGGUCAUAGACUGAAAGCCACUUUACAAACGAAUUUGUGAACAUUUCACCUCUGGAGUCGCCGCCGGGAAGCACGCAAUGUGUGAAGGUGGUCCGGUUACUAAGCCGUUAUCGAAUUUUGAGUGGGAACAAUUUUUUGUUCUUAUUAGGGUGGUACCGCGAGAAGUCUCGUCCCUUUG